UACUCGAGUGGCGAACGGGUGAGUAACACGUGGGUGAUCUGCCCUGCACUUCGGGAUAAGCUUUGGAAACUGGGUCUAAUACCGGAUAGGAACCAUCUUUAGUGUGGUGGUUGGAAAGUUUUUCGGUGUAGGAUGAGCUCGCGGCCUAUCAGCUUGUUGGUGGGGUAAUGGCCUACCAAGGCGGCGACUGGUAGCCGGCCUGAGAGGGUGUACGGCCACAUUGGGACUGAGAUACGGCCCAG
rnacentral:rRNA from 1 species